AUGGUUAAUCGCAUAUACAAGACACCUGGACUUGGUUUCGUGUUUCCUCAAAAAUCUCCGCUGGUGCAUGAUCUUUCGGUUGCCAUCCUGGACCUUGGGGCUGAGGGCUCACGAAUUGAAAAGAAAUGGUUAGGCACAGAAACACCAUUGCCCAGCUAUGGCAUCCCCAACACGGACGCGGCACCUCUCACUUUGCGAAGUUUCUCUGGUCUCUUCAUCAUCACUGUAUGUAUGUCAACUCUCAUGCUGUUGAUAAGCAUUGCCAAGUCGGUUCAUGCCAAAUACACCAAAGUGAGGGAUUCUGAUAUGCAGAGUGCCGAUGGAGAUGGCAGAAGUGAAGGCCACAGAGGAUUUGGUCCGCUGCAGAACGACAUGGGCAAUGGGUCUAUGGCUGAUCAACCCCACCAUGAAGCCAGAAAUGAGCAUCCUCAGGGUGUCAGUGGGAUCAGAGAAAGUCCUGGUGAUGUAGAACCCAAUGACUCUGUGCCCGAACACGCCAUCCUAAUCGAGAUGAACACCCGAUGA
rnacentral:rRNA from 1 species